CAUGAAACACGGAGCAAUCUGUGGCUUAUAGAUGGGCCUGCGGCGCAUUAGCUAGUUGGUAGGGUAACGGCCUACCAAGGCGACGAUGCGUAGCCGACCUGAGAGGGUGAACGGCCACACUGGGACUGAGACACGGCCCAGACUCCUACGGGAGGCAGCAGUAGGGAAUCUUCCGCAAUGGACGCAAGUCUGACGGAGCAACGCCGCGUGAGUGAUGAAGGUUUUCGGAUCGUAAAGCUCUGUUGCCCUAGACGAACAGCAAGGCGAGUAACUGCGCUUUGUGUGACGGUAUAGGAGAAGAAAGCCCCGGCUAACUACGUGCCAGCAGCCGCGGUAAUACGUAGGGGGCAAGCGUUGUCCGGAAUUAUUGGGCGUAAAGCGCGCGCAGGCGGUUAAUUAAGUUGGGUGUUUAAGCCCGGGGCUCAACCCCGGUUCGCAUCCAAAACUGGUUGACUUGAGUGUAGGAGAGGAAAGUGGAAUUCCACGUGUAGCGGUGAAAUGCGUAGAGAUGUGGAGGAACACCAGUGGCGAAGGCGACUUUCUGGCCUAUAACUGACGCUGAGGCGCGAAAGCGUGGGGGAGCAAACAGGAUUAGAUACCCUGGUAGUCCACGCCGUAAACGAUGCAUAC
rnacentral:rRNA from 1 species